GUGUUCCACGCUGUCGGUUCGCCGCCCGUCGGUGUUAACUGGCAUGUCCUGUGGAACGUCCUGCCGGUGGCGGUCCGGGCGUUCGGCUUGCGUAAAGGCUUACGCCCGAAGCAGGUCGAGCAGUUCCGGCCGCCGGUCCAAUCCCGCCACGGUGCUCUUCACCGAGUGUCGAGGUGGGCCGGCACGUUUACUUUGAACAAAUUAGAGUGCUUAAAGCAGGCUGGUGUCCGCCUGAAUACUGUGUGCAUGGAAUAAUAGAAUAGGACCUCGGUUCUAUUUUGUUGGUUUUCGGAACCCGAGGUAAUGAUUAAUAGGGACAGGCGGGGGCAUUCGUAUUGCGACGUUAGAGGUGAAAUUCUUGGAUCGUCGCAAGACGAACCUAAGCGAAAGCAUUUGCCAAGUAUGUUCUCGUUAAUCAAGAACGAAAGUUAGAGGUUCGAAGGCGAUCAGAUACCGCCCUAGUUCUAACCAUAAACGAUGCCAGCCAGCGAUCCGCCGAAGUUCCUCCGAUGACUCGGCGGGCAGCUUCCGGGAAACCAAAGCUUUUGGGUUCCGGGGGAAGUAUGGUUGCAAAGCUGAAACUUAAAGGAAUUGACGGAAGGGCACCACCAGGAGUGGAGCCUGCGGCUUAAUUUGACUCAACACGGGAAACCUCACCAGGCCCGGACACCGGAAGGAUUGACAGAUUGAGAGCUCUUUCUUGAUUCGGUGGGUGGUGGUGCAUGGCCGUUCUUAGUUGGUGGAGCGAUUUGUCUGGUUAAUUCCGAUAACGAACGAGACUCUAGCCUGCUAACUAGGCGAUUUCCGGUACCCACAAUAGUGUUACCGGCGAUUCAAUUUCUUCUUAGAGGGACAGGCGGCUCCUAGCCGCACGAGACUGAGCAAUAACAGGUCUGUGAUGCCCUUAGAUGUCCUGGGCCGCACGCGCGCUACACUGAAGGAAUCAGCGUGUCUCCCCUGGCCGACAGGCCCGGGUAACCCGUUGAACCUCCUUCGUGCUAGGGAUUGGGGCUUGCAAUUGUUCCCCAUGAACGAGGAAUUCCCAGUAAGCGCGAGUCAUAAGCUCGCGUUGAUUACGUCCCUGCCCUUUGUACACACCGCCCGUCGCUACUACCGAUUGAAUGAUUUAGUGAGGUCUUCGGACUGGUGCGCGGCGAUCGGUUCUGCCGGUCGCCGAUGUUGCCGGAAAGAUGACCAAACUUGAUCAUUUAGAGGAAGUAAAAGU
rnacentral:rRNA from 1 species